GAUUGAUUGGUGGAGUCAUGCUCAGCCAUCCCUGCAGGAAGCGCACCGGGGCGAUGCUCUUCAGGCAGUGGGCGAUCGUCUGCUGUCUCCCAGUCAGGUGGGAGAGGGUGAGCUCAGAGACAGCGAGGGAUGGAAACAAGUCCCUGUCUGGGGCAGCGAGGGGACUGCCUCUCAUCCCGUCCCCCUCUCCCAGGUGCCCUUACAUAACAGGUUUAAGGUUCUG
rnacentral:lncRNA from 1 species